rnacentral:lncRNA from 1 species
AGGCCGCGGGUCGCCUCCCUCCUCUGCUUUGUUCCCCAGCCCGCGGCUCCGCUCGGUGCUCCGACUCCGCGGCUCUGCGGCUACGGGGAGCGAGGGGUGCGGGGGGCGCGGCCACAGCCGGGCGGGGUGAGGGCGGAGUCCCUGAUCCGAUGGUCCCGCCCACAACCCAGGCCCCGCCCCGGCCCCCCCACUUCCUGCCCCAAGCCUCCCGCCAAAGUUGUGGGGGCGGAGCCGCGGCGCGGGCCGGCGGGCGGACGGGGACCGUGGGCUCCCUCCCGAGUGCUCGCGGACUCGGCGCCCUUCGUCGCAAUGGCCAGUCGCUGUCCCAGGGCCCCCCCACGUGCCACCAGACGUCCGAAGGCCGUUGUCGCUCGGGGCGCCCUCGCGUGGCCCUUCCGGAAGGACAGACCUGGAGGGCGAACCCCGCUGGGCCCAUCCAACUGCCUGGCUGAGUAACUGGAGACCGGACCAAGUCUCCUCGGAACCCCCUUCCUGUCCUCUGCGCUGCCCAGGGCAAGCGGGACCCCUCCCGGCUAGAUUCCCUGGACUUGGUGGGCAGAGCUGGGUCCGAGGAGGUAUUUGUCAUCUGAGUAAGGGGGAGAGGAACAGAGACCCCACUCCCGUCGGAGAAGGAAGACUGUCCAGGAGUGGAGAACCGUCUUGUGACAGGCGGCAUGCCACCCUGGGAGGGGCUGCCCCAGACAUAAACGCCAGCUUCUAUGACUGGCGUUACACGAUCCCGGCCCCGGGUCCAGGGCCGGGUUCUCUCGCCGAUGUCUCCGGGACCGAGGGCACCCUUGGCUCUUGCUGUCCUUGGCCUUCCUCCACUGCCUCCGG